rnacentral:tRNA from 1 species
AGAGCAUAGCUCAGGGGCAGAGCAUGUGUUUGGCGUGCACAAGGUUCGGGGUUCAAACCCCAGUACCUCCA